UUUAAUUGAUCCGCGCGCUUCAAAAAUUGAUUAAUUAGGGUUUUAAUCAAAGAACUCCUCUACCAAAAUUCUAAAUUGCUGCUCCCCCUCCCUCCCUUACAUUGAAGAACUCAGCCUCUUGCAGAACAAACACAAGCAAUUUCACCUUUCAGGUACAGACAGUUCCUUUCCUCGUGGGUUUUGGCCUCCCAAAUUGCAAACCCUUAUCAUAGGGGGUUUGAAGAAGCCCAUCUUGGAAUGGGGACAACAGAAUUUCCCAACCUCACUUGUCUACCUAGGGUUAAGGUGGGGAGAGUCAGAAGAAGAUGAUUGACAGAACAUAUGAGGUUAUGGAGAUGACUUUAUACUACAUUCUAGUGGAGUGACUGUCUGUAGGGCACCCUUUGGGCAAAUGCCAGCACUGAUUAAUUGGCUAUAAUUGAAAGAAAAAAAAUAUAAAAAAAUUAAAAAGCCUGCUUCGGUAAUUCGCCAGUUCAACCGGUCCGACUUGUAACCAGCCGGUUCAUAAUCCAACCUAUCUGUGGUUUUCCAGUAUGGUUGAAGUAUGUUCCUGGUAUGAGCUUCAGAACUGAUAAUGAGCCAUUUAAGGCAGCUAUGCAAGGAUUUACACAGAAGAUAGUAGAGAUGAUGAAGGCUGAAAACUUGUUCGAAUCACAAGGUGGCCCGACCAUCCUCUCACAGAUUGAGAAUGAGUAUGGUGCACAAGGGAAGUCACUUGGACCCCCUAGAAAAGCGUACAUGAAUUGGGCCGCAAAAAUGGAAGUCGGACUGAACACAUGCGUCCCAUGGUCAAUGUGCAAGGAAGAGGAUGCACCUGACCCCGUGGUAAAUUUAGUUACACUAAAAUGACUUGAUGAUAAUGACCAACGUGUAUCACAAACUUGCCAUCAAAUAUUAUGUGAGCCUCCGUAUCAUGUACAUAUGCUGCAAGAAAGGUUCGCUCCAAUCCCCUCAUCAGCUUUCUAUCAUUUAGGGCUGGUUAUCCUGCACAAGUAUGCUAACAGGCUUGCAUCUUGUUUGGCAACUAAGGACAUUGACAUUAGCCUGUUUGUCCCUCUUCAAGGUCUUGUAAAUAUGUUCUCAACACACUUAUGCAAACUUUUCAAAAUAAAGGGCUUGCUUUGUUGCUCCUUCUGUCACAUGUUCGAUGAAAGUGUUCAAGGAUGUAUUAUGCUUCUACUUGAGCUAUUGCGAACGCGGGAAGCGAUGUCUCACCAAAUUUUCAUGUUUGAGGAAAUAUUUUUGAUAGCAGACUUAUUUUUUUCCCAUUUCAUUGCUAAUAGCUCUUUGUUUUCUCGCACGUAGGUGCUACCAAGGAAGCAAAUGUCUAACAAGAUUUUUAUGCAUAGAUUGAAAAGUUGAACUUAGUUAUCAAGGAGCUCGUUAAGGAAAAUGAUGAAGAAAAAGAAAGGCUAAAUGGAAUUAUUGCCGGGUUGUUGGCUGAAAAAGAAAAAGAUAAGGUGGAUAACGAUGCUAUGCUCGAUACGAUGUCACAAAUUGAAGCUGUUUACAAAUACAAUUUGAAGAUAGGCUACAAACAUUUGGUUUUGAAUGUUUCGAUGUUUAUUGUAUUAGGAUUUUUUAGUUAUUUGAUGUUUUAGCUGGUAUUUCUAUUAGAAUGUUUUAUAUGCUUUUGAUACACAUAAGUUUUAUAUAAUUUUGGGUUUUCGUGAUCU